UGGGAACCGCGCGUCCAAAGCGGAGCGCAGCGGAUGGAGGGCACGGGAGCAAAGGGCGAUGGGCGGAGGAGAGCGGGGGGGGACGGGGGGGGACGGAGGGGGGCGGGGAUCGCGCAGCGCUCGGCCCUUCGGCGGCCCUUCGGCGGCCCUUCGGACAUCGGAGGAACGGCUUCGGGAUCGCGCAACGCAAACGGGAGCUGCGGAGGGGGUCGGGAACGCCCACAGCUCCGCGGGCUGCAGCCGCUGCUCAGCGGGGUACAGCGCGCCGUUAAUGGGGUACAAUAUGCAGUGAAUGGGGUACAGCGCGCCGUUAAUGGGGUACCACGUGCAGUUAAUGGGGUACAAUGCGCAGUUAAUGGGGUACCACGUGCAGCGAAUGGGGUACAAUGUGCAGUUAAUGGGGUGCAGCCCGCAGUGAAUGGGGUGCAGCCCGCAGUUAGUGGGGUACAACGCGCAGUGAAUGGGGUACAAUGUACAGUGAAUGGGGUGCAGCCCGCAGUGAAUGGGGUACAACGCGCCGUUAAUGGGGUACCACGUGCAGUUAAUGGGGUACAACGCGCAGUUAAUGGGGUACAAUGCGCAGUUGAUGGGGUGCAGCCCGCAGUGAAUGGGGUCCAACGCGCAGUUGAUGGGGUGCAGUGCGCAGUGAAUGGGGUGCAACGCGCAGUUGAUGGGGUGCACCCCACAGAUCGUCCUGGAAUCCUAAAAUCGCCAGGGUUGGAAAAGCCCUCCGAGGUCAUCCGGCGCAGCCGCCCACCCAUCACCACCGGGCGCACCCCGCAGCUCAGUGGGGUGCAGCCCCCCACCCCCCCCCCACGGCUCGUUGGGGUGCGCCUCACAGCCAACUGGGGUACACCCGCAGCUCAAUGGGGUACACCCGCAGCUCAAUGGGGUACGACCUGUGGCUCUUUGGGUACGCCCCGCAGCUCAAUGGGGUACACCGCAGCUCAAUGGGGUACACCCUGCAGCUCAUGGGGUACACCCGCAGCUCAAUGGGGUACGACCCGUAGUUCAAUGGGGUACACCCGCAGCUCAAUGGGGUACAACCCGCAGCUCAAUGGGGUACACCCUGCAGCUCAUUGGGGUACGCCCCGCAGCUCAUUGGGGUACGCCCCGCAGCUCAAUGGGGUACACCGCAGCUCAUGGGGUACACCCUGCAGUUCAAUGGGGUACGCCCCGCAGCUCAUUGGGGUACCCCACAGCCAACCGAGGUACACUCCUACAGCUCACCGGGGUACACCCUGAGGCUCAUUGGGGUACACCCUGAGGCUCAUUGGGGUACACCCCGCAGCUCACUGGGGUACGCCCCGCAGCUAAUAAAAGUACACCCCGCAGCUCAUUGGGGUACACCUUACAGCUAACGGGUACAGCCUGCAGCUCAUUGGGGUACAACGGGGAGCUAACUGGGGUGCAACCCACGGCUAAAUGGGGUACACCCUUACAACUAACCAGGGUACAGCCUGCAGCUCAUUGGGGUACACCCCACUAAUAGAGGUACACCCCGCAGCCCAUUGGGGUACACCUUACAGCCCAUAGGGGUGCACUCACAGCCCAUUGGGGUACACCCACAGCCCAUUGGGGUACACCCACAGCCCAUUGGGGUACACCCCAUAGCUAAUAGAGGUUCACUCACAGCCCAUAGGGGUGCACUCACAGCUCACUGGGGUACACCCACAGCUAAUAGGGGUGCACUCACAGCCCAUUGGGGUAUACUCACAGCCAAUAGGGGUACACUCACAGCCCAUAGGGGUACACCCCAUAGCUAAUAGAGGUACACCCACAGCCCAUUGGGGUCCACUCACAGCUAAUAGGGGAACACCCACAGCCCAUUGGGGUCCACCCACAGCCCAUAGGAGUGCACUCACAGCCCAUAGGGGUCCACCCACAGCCCAUAUGGGCACACGUCACCGCGGAGCAGAGCGUGGCUGUGCCACCCGUGGGACAAACAGAGCCACGUGAGGAGCAAAGGACAAUGAGGGCACAACCGCAGCCCUUCCUCCUCCUGGGGGGGUGGGGGUGCGGGGGGGGUGUGUGG
ensembl:lncRNA